rnacentral:rRNA from 1 species
AGUGAACGCUGGCGGUAGGCCUAACACAUGCAAGUCGAACGGCAGCACAGUAAGAGCUUGCUCUUACGGGUGGCGAGUGGCGGACGGGUGAGGAAUACAUCGGAAUCUACUUUUUCGUGGGGGAUAACGUAGGGAAACUUACGCUAAUACCGCAUACGACCUACGGGUGAAAGCAGGGGAUCUUCGGACCUUGCGCGAUUGAAUGAGCCGAUGUCGGAUUAGCUAGUUGGCGGGGUAAAGGCCCACCAAGGCGACGAUCCGUAGCUGAUCUGAGAGGAUGAUCAGCCACACUGGAACUGAGACACGGUCCAGACUCCUACGGGAGGCAGCAGUGGGGAAUAUUGGACAAUGGGCGCAAGCCUGAUCCAGCCAUGCCGCGUGGGUGAAGAAGGCCUUCGGGUUGUAAAGCCCUUUUGUUAGGAAAGAAAAGCAGCAGGUUAAUCCCCCGCUGUUUUGACGGUACCCAAAGAGUAAGCACCGGCUAACUUCGUG